GAACUUAGGAUAACUAGACCAAGGGCCUUCAAAGCCCUAAGUAGAAGUUAAACUCUUCUAGUUUC
rnacentral:tRNA from 1 species